rnacentral:rRNA from 1 species
GCCAGCUUCGGUGGAGGCAUCGUUGGGAUACCACCCUGAUCGUAUCGGAGUUCUAACCUGGUACCGUGAUCCGGUACAGGGACCGUGUCAGGUGGGCAGUUUGACUGGGGCGGUCGCCUCCUAAAAUGUAACGGAGGCGCCCAAAGGUUCCCUCAGAAUGGUUGGAAAUCAUUCGCAGCGUGCAAAGGCAUAAGGGAGCUUGACUGCGAGACCUACAAGUCGAGCAGGGACGAAAGUCGGGCUUAGUGAUCCGGUGGUACCGCAUGGAAGGGCCAUCGCUCAACGGAUAAAAGCUACCCUGGGGAUAACAGGCUUAUCUCCCCCAAGAGUCCACAUCGACGGGGAGGUUUGGCACCUCGAUGUCGGCUCAUCGCAUCCUGGGGCUGAAGUAGGUCCCAAGGGUUGGGCUGUUCGCCCAUUAAAGCGGUACGCGAGCUGGGUUCAGAACGUCGUGAGACAGUUCGGUCCCUAUCUGUCGUGGGCGCAGGAAAUUUGAGAGGAGCUGUCCUUAGUACGAGAGGACCGGGAUGGACGCACCGCUGGUGUACCAGUUGUUCCGCCAGGAGCACCGCUGGGUAGCCAAGUGCGGACGGGAUAAGCGCUGAAAGCAUCUAA